rnacentral:lncRNA from 1 species
CGGGAGAUGACCAAAUUAUUCUAAUGCAAUUAUUUUGUAACAAUUGUUCUGAUUGGAUAACAGCAAGCGUAAAAUCUCUUAUCUCCUUGUCUGUAACUAAGGAAGCCGACAUUUUGAAUUUCGGAAUGUAUUGACAUGUUAUUUCUACAAUAAUAAACAAAAAACUCACUUGUUGCGCCUAAAAAUCUUCUUUUUAUCAAAUUUUAUUACAUUCUGAAGCGGCACAGAAGCCAGAAAACGGCCGGUGUUUAUGUUUGACGCCGGAAGCAUACCUAUGACGUCACCUAGUGUAGGGACCAAAGAACAUAACAUCUUUUCGCGGAAUUUUCUUUAAUGAACAUUUUACACUGAAAUAAUGAUUGAAAUUUCAUUAUAAACUUGUUUUGCAUUAGAAUAGAGAUAACUGUAUUGUAUUUGAAGCUUUGCGGACGUCCAUCGGUAGUUUUACUGUCGCAAAUACCCGUUUACCUGUCUCCGCUCCG